GUUUCGUGAUGAUCCCCAUGCGUGUCAACUGAUCCCACAAUUCCAUCCAUCUCCUGGCUGCCUGCUGCUGUUCUGGCAGGGGGUGUGCCCAGGACUGGAGGAUUCUGGGGCUGUGAUCAUACCCUACAGCUUCUGAAAAC